GACGAACGCUGGCGGCGUGCUUAACACAUGCAAGUCGAACGGAAAGGCCCUGCUUUUGUGGGGUGCUCGAGUGGCGAACGGGUGAGUAACACGUGAGUAACCUGCCCUUGACUUUGGGAUAACUUCAGGAAACUGGGGCUAAUACCGGAUAGGAGCUCCUGCUGCAUGGUGGGGGUUGGAAAGUUUCGGCGGUUGGGGAUGGACUCGCGGCUUAUCAGCUUGUUGGUGGGGUAGUGGCUUACCAAGGCUUUGACGGGUAGCCGGCCUGAGAGGGGGACCGGGCACAAUGGUACUGAGGUACGGCCCAGAAUGCUACGGGAGGCAGUGGGGGAGAAUAUUGCACAAUGGGCGGAAGCCUGAGGCAGAAACGCCGCGUGCGUGAUGACGGCCUUCUGGUUGUAAACCGCUUUCGCCUGUGACGAAGCGUGAGUGACGGUAAUGGGUAAAGAAGCACCGGCUAACUACGUG
rnacentral:rRNA from 1 species